UGCAGACUCUUUGGUAGCUGUAGAUAUUUGCAAUUUCCCUGUGUCCUCUGGCCUUUCUUUCCCAGAGAACUUUCUUGAAGGUAAAAGCUGUGCAAAAGGCAUGAGACUCAGGCCUACUCUUUGUUUGUUAAAUGAUGGAAAAGUAUAAAUUAUUUUCUAAGUAAUAAAAAUAUGAAAAUUAUCAUUGUAAAUAAAGUCUAAAGCUUGAAAUGACUUCUUUAUAGAAGUGGAGUGUUUGUGUGGUGAACAACUCCUGGCCAAUAGGAAAAGAAGAAUCUGGAAUUUCUGUCUGUUCUGCUUGAGGACACACUCUUGGUGCCUCCUUGAGGCGGGCACCUCCAUUGAUCUUCCUUAGGGUCUUGGAAGCAUAAAGAGAGGCUUCUUAGCCUUCUCUCUAAUCCUGAAUCUCAUUGGAUGCCUCCCUUGGUUUUUGUGUCAUUAGCAAUUUAAUUGCCUUUACAAUUGUCUGAAGGCUACUGCAACAGAGUUCUAUGGCCUUCCACAGACUAAAUCAAUAUUCUACUCUUUAGGUGUGUCCCAGAUAACUAAAUGACACAAUAACCAUGUGCUUUGAAACUGAAGUCAUUUUCUUGCAUCAUCUUGCCCCCUGAACAAUGAAAUAUUACACGAUCCUUGUUCUAGGUCACUCAUUUCUUCAUGAAUUUGUAAAGGGAAAUUAUGAAUUUUCUGAUAGCAACAUGUUUAAAAAUCUAUCCAAACAUAUUAAAACUGAAGAUCGAUAAAACAGUUCACCAUUUCAAGUAGAAGAGACUUCAGAAUUAAAUUCAUCUUAGAAUGUCUAAUUAAGCUGAAAUCCAUCAAUUUGGGGUCCUGGACCCCAAAUUUAUGUCAUGUUAAUUCAUCCUCCAGUAAAUGCCCCAGUAUUCAUUGAAAAAUAAAUUAGAAGUGGAUUAAGUUGUUAGCCCUGACUAAACUAAACCAUACACUUCAGUCUAGAUGGUUUAUUGUGCUUUUGGUGAGUAUUUUUAUGCCUCCAAUGAGGGAACCAUAAUUAGAGAAUAAAAACAUACUAGUAGUAUACAUUAUACAAGGUGGAUAUCAAUAAACUAUGUUGCUACCUUAUGCUUUGCAUGGGCUAAAAUGUUCUUAUUUCCUAUACUACCUAAUACUGCUUUUUGCCUUACCUAGUAAUUGGCUUUAUGAUCAUCUAGUAAAUUAACCCUAACAACUGAUUUGAUGUUGUGACUAAGAUAUUUGACCUUCUCUGUGUGGAUACUUUAAAUAUGUCUGCAGAUGCAAAAAUGUAGUUGGUGGGACCUAAUCUGCUACUUCAAAGCAUAAUGUUGAUCCUUGAGUUUUUAACCUAGGAAAGACCAUAAGUACAUAGACUGUGUGUUUUUGUGCUGGGCUGAAGACUCUAAACUUAUCUCACAUUUCUUAGCAUCAUGUUCUGGCAUCUUAGGUGUAUGCCUCCCCCUCAAACUGGUGUGGAACACAGAGGGAAAAGCACCCUUCCUCUAAUAGAUAAAUGUUCACUGGGGCCGUGUGUAACCCAGACUCGUUGGUUUGCAUUAAGAAGCGGCUCUUUAAUCAUCAAAGCUAACAAGAAGUAAUGUUAAGUCUUGUGUGUUGUUACUGACAGAAGUAUUUCAAUUUGAUUUAAAUUCUUGAAUCACCCACCAUUCUCUUGCAUUUUGGGGGAUAGGGAUUAAAAUUAACCCCAAAAAGCACUGCUUCUUGGUAUCACAAUUACCAUAGUCUGGUAGGAUUUAAUGUUUUUCUAGUGCUCUUGAGGGGAAAAUGAUUUUUUUUUUUUUGGUUUUUCGAGACAGGGUCUCUCUGUAUAGUCCUGGCUGUCCUGGAACUCAUUUUGUAGACCAAGUUGGCCUCGAACUCAGAAAUCCACCUGCCUCUGCCUCCCGAGUGCUGGGAUUAAAGGUGUGCACCACCACCCCCCGGUGGAAAAUGAUUUAUAAGGGAAUCAGUAAGUGUACAUUUAAUAAAGUACAUGAAGAAUUUAAGUGUCCUCAGGGCAGCUCACGUAGCCUGUAACACCAGUUCCAGGGGAUCUGACACCAUCUUCUGACCUCCUUGGACACUGCAUAUGUGUGGUACACAGACAUCUCUUCAGGCAAAACACCCAUCUGCAUAAAAUAAAUUUGUACAAAAAAAUACCAAAGAAUGCAAGUGCCCAAAUUGCAAUCUAAGUUCCUCCGAGUUACCCCAGUGCACAGGGAGGCACCAUCCAGAGAUUUAUCACAAUACAUUCAAAGAUGAUACAUUGUCUAUAGCUCAGUUCCUGUGAGUUACCCUAAUCACCAGCAGGAGUUCUUCAGUUGCUUAUCAUACAUUUUAAGUGAUGCAUUGCCUACAGCUUAGUUCCUUUGAGCUACCCCAACGCACAGGGUGAUAUCAGCUAGUAGAUUACCAUCAGACAUUUAAAAAUGAUAUUUGAUCUAUUACCAUAGAUUUUUAUUUUCUGAAUUCUAAUAGAGUUAAAAACUCAAAUUCUUCCACACUAAGAAAAUGAAACAUCAUUAAUUUUGGCUUUCACAAAUAAAGGAUUGACCUUGGGUAAACCACCCCACUGUGUUCAUCUGUCAUAACAGUAGGGUAGACUAUGAAAUUCCUAUAUAGAAAAGCAACAAAAAAACUGUGUAAAGCCUUGAUACUUUAAAUUUCCAGUUAUAUCGGACAUGGUUCUUUCAACUGAAAGAAACUAUUGCAGGAAAUUCUCAAUUCUUAUGAAUAGAAAAACAAAAACAAAC
rnacentral:lncRNA from 1 species